UCGAGAGGCUUUGUCAAUGGGGGAAACCCUGAACAAGCGACGCCGCGUGAGUGAUGAAGGUCGUAAGAUCGUAAAACUCUUUUCAGGGAUCUUAACGCACAGCUGUCAACAACAGCUGUGUCUGACUCUCCCUGGAAGAAGCCCCAGCCAACUACGUGCCAGCAGCUGCGGUAAUACGUAGGGGGCGAGCGUUAUUCGGAAUUACUGGGUGUAAAGUGUAUGUAGGCGGCCCUUCAAGUCGCGUGUCAAAGUCCAGUGCUCAACGCUGGGUGUGCGCGCGAUACUGACGGGCUUGAGGGCUGGAGAGGUGAGCGGAAUUCCCGGUGUAGUGGUAAAAGACGUAGAGAUCGGGAGGAACACCAGCGGCGCAGGCGGCUCACUAGACAGUUUCUGACGCUAAGAUACGAAAGCGUGGGGAGCAAACA
rnacentral:rRNA from 1 species